GCCGGGCGUGGUGGUGCAUGCCUGUAAUCCCAGCUACUCAGGAGGCUGAGGCAGGAGAAUUGCUUGAACCUGGGAGAAGGAGGUUUCAGUGAGCUGAGACUGAGCCACUGCACUCCAGCCUGGGUGACAGAGUGAGACUCUGUCUCAA
rnacentral:SRP_RNA from 1 species